rnacentral:rRNA from 1 species
GAUCAAGUGAAUAAGUGCACACGGUGGAUGCCUUGGCGACAACAGGCGAAGAAGGACGUGGAAAUCUGCGAAAAGCCCCGGGAAGCUGAUAACAAGCAAUGAUCCGGGGAUCUCCGAAUGGGGCAACCCGACCUUAGGGUCAUCCGUAGUUGAAUACAUAGACUGCGGAAGCGAACCGGGAGAACUGAAACAUCUAAGUACCCCGAGGAAAAGAAAUCAACCGAGAUUCCGCAAGUAGCGGCGAGCGAACGCGGAGAAGCCCAAUUAAGUUGCGUAUGAGCUAGUAGAACAUCCUGGGAAGGGUGGCCAUAGAGGGUGAUAGCCCCGUAUACGAAAGCCAUACACAAUGAAUCGAGUAGGGCGGGACACGUGAAAUCCUGUCUGAAGAUGGGGGGACCAUCCUCCAAGGCUAAAUACUCGUUGUCGACCGAUAGUGAACCAGUACCGUGAGGGAAAGGCGAAAAGAACCCUGGUGAAGGGAGUGAAAUAGAACCUGAAACCGUGUGCAUACAAGCAGUCAGAGCAUAUGAAGAUAUGUGAUGGCGUACCUUUUGUAUAAUGGGUCAGCGAGUUACAUUCAGUGGCGAGGUUAACCGAAUAGGGGAGCCGUAGCGAAAGCGAGUCUUAAUAGGGCGAUAAGUCUCUGGGUGUAGACCCGAAACCGGGCGAUCUAUCCAUGGGCAGGUUGAAGGUUGAGUAACAUCAACUGGAGGACCGAACCCACGCAUGUUGAAAAAUGCGGGGAUGACCUGUGGAUAGGAGUGAAAGGCUAAACAAGCUCGGAGAUAGCUGGUUCUCCCCGAAAACUAUUGAGGUAGUGCCUUGUAGAUUGACUUGCGGGGGUAGAGCACUGUUUCGGCUAGGGGGUCAUACCGACUUACCAACCCGAUGCAAACUCCGAAUACCGUAAAGUUUUACUACAGGAGACACACGGCGGGUGCUAACGUCCGUCGUGAAGAGGGAAACAACCCAGACCGCCAGCUAAGGUCCCGAAAUGACAGUUCAGUGGGAAACGAAGUGGGAAGGCUUAGACAGCUAGGAGGUUGGCUUAGAAGCAGCCAUCCUUUAAAGAAAGCGUAAUAGCUCACUAGUCGAGUCGUCCUGCGCGGAAGAUUUACCGGGGCUAAACUGUCUACCGAAGCUGCGGAUUUGCAUGAAGAUGCAAGUGGUAGGGGAGCGUUGUGUAAGCCGAAGAAGGUGUGUUGAGAAGCAUGCUGGAGGUAUCACAAGUGCGAAUGCUGACAUGAGUAACGAUAAUGCGGGUGAAAAACCCGCACACCGAAAACCCAAGGUUUCCUGCGCAACGCUAAUCGGCGCAGGGUGAGUCGGCCCCUAAGGCGAGGCGGAAACGCGUAGUCGAUGGGAAACAGGUUAAUAUUCCUGUACUGAUCAUAAUUGCGAUGGGGGGACGGAGAAAGCUAGGCCAGCACACUGUUGGAUGUGUGUUUAAGCGCGUAGGUUGGGGACUUAGGCAAAUCCGGGUUCCUAAGACUGAAACGUGAUGACGAGUUUCUACGGAAACGAAGUGGUUGAUGCUCUGCUUCCAGGAAAAGCCUCUAAGCUUCAGAUUAUGACAACCGUACCCCAAACCGACACAGGUGGGUAGGAAGAGAAUUCCAAGGUGCUUGAGAGAACUCGGGUAAAGGAACUCGGCAAAAUGAUACCGUAACUUCGGGAUAAGGUAUGCCUCUGAUGGUGAAUAGCUGUUGGAGGCCGCAGAGAAUAGGCCGCUGCGACUGUUUAUCAAAAACACAGCACUCUGCAAACACGCAAGUGGACGUAUAGGGUGUGACGCCUGCCCGGUGCCGGAAGGUUAAUUGAUGGGGUGCAAGCUCUUGAUCGAAGCCCCGGUAAACGGCGGCCGUAACUAUAACGGUCCUAAGGUAGCGAAAUUCCUUGUCGGGUAAGUUCCGACCUGCACGAAUGGCGUAACGAUGGCGGCGCUGUCUCUACCCGAGACUCAGUGAAGUUGAAAUCGCUGUGAAGAUGCAGUGUACCCGCGGCAAGACGGAAAGACCCCGUGAACCUUCACUACAGCUUGACACUGAACAUUGAAAUAAGUUGCAUAGGAUAGGUGGGAGGCUUUGAAGCAGAGACUCUGGUUUCUGUGGAGCCGACCUUGAAAUACCACCCUGCUUAUUUUGAUGUUCUAACGUAGACCCGUAAUCCGGGUUGCAGACAGUGUCUGGUGGGUAGUUUGACUGGGGCGGUCUCCUCCCAAAGAGUAACGGAGGAGUGCGAAGGUGGGCUCGGUGCGGUCGGAAAUCGCACCAAGAGUGCAAAGGCAGAAGCCCGCUUAACUGCGAGACAGACAAGUCGAGCAGAUACGAAAGUAGGUCUUAGUGAUCCGGUGGUUCUGAAUGGAAGGGCCAUCGCUCAACGGAUAAAAGGUACUCCGGGGAUAACAGGCUGAUUCCUCCCAAGAGUCCAUAUCGACGGAGGAGUUUGGCACCUCGAUGUCGGCUCAUCACAUCCUGGGGCUGUAGCAGGUCCCAAGGGUAUGGCUGUUCGCCAUUUAAAGUGGUACGCGAGCUGGGUUCAGAACGUCGUGAGACAGUUCGGUCCCUAUCUGCCGUGGGCGUUGGAGAUUUGAGGGAAGCUGUUCUUAGUACGAGAGGACCGGAAUGGACGAACCUCUGGUGUACCGGUUGUCACGCCAGUGGCACAGCCGGGUAGCUAUGUUCGGAAGGGAUAACCGCUGAAAGCAUCUAAGCGGGAAGCCCCUCCCAAGAUAAGAUCUCCCUAGACCUUAAAGGUCUCUAAAGAUCCGUUGAAGACUACGACGUUGAUAGGCUCCAUGUGGAAGUGUAGUAAUACAUGCAGCUAAGGAGUACUAAUUGAUCGUGAGGCUUGAUCAUACAACGCUC